rnacentral:rRNA from 1 species
GCGGGACUAGCUCAGGAUGUGAAUCUGCGCUUUUAUGGCGCCGAAUUGUGGUCUAUAGACUUUAACAUUAUCUGCCGGGCCAAGUUCCUUGGAAAAGGACAGCUGAGAGGGUGAGACUCCCGUCCGCCUGGUAGAAUGAGUUUUUGUCAACGAGUCGAGUUGUUUGGGAUUGCAGCUCUAAUUUGGUGGUAAAUUCCAUCUAAAGCUAAAUAUUGGUGGGAGACCGAUAGCGUACAAGUACCGUGAGGGAAAGAUGCAAAGAACUUUGAAAAGAGAGUUAAAGAGUACCUGAAAUUGCUGAAACGGAAGCGAAGGAAACCAGUGUUUGUUGGUUCAUAUUUCCCUGGCCACUUGUGGUUUGGGCGCUGUGAGCUUGCGUGGGUUUGCUUUGGUUGAUCCCUUUGGAAGAGCGCAGUCAGAGUUGAUGUCUGUUGCUAGCACUGGGUUUGACUAAUGCAGACGAAAUGGUUUUCUUUACCCCGUCUUGAAACACGGACCAAGGAGUCUAACAUAUGUGCGAGUACAGGGGUGUCAAACCCCGGUGCGUAAUGAAAGUGACAGUGGUUGGAUAUUUUGCACAAUCCGCCGGCCUCAAUCCUUCGGGAGAACGGUCUGAGUGUGAGCAUACAUGUUGGGACCCGAAAGAUGGUGAACUAUGCCU